rnacentral:rRNA from 1 species
AAAACUUAAAAGACCUGGCGGUGCUCUAAAUAAACCUAGAGGGGCCUGUCUAAUAAUCGAUACUCCCAAAAACCCGACCUAUUCUGGCCAAUUCAGCCUGUAUACCGCCGUCGAAAGCUCAUUUUUCAAGAAAUAGAAGCUAAAAAGUAUAAUUAACUAACACGUCAGGUCAAGGAGUAGCACAUGAAAAGGAUAAGAUUGGCCACAGUACAGCACUCCACAAAACAACAAUGAAACACGUGACUAGAAAUAAUUUAGCACUAAGAGAGCAAAUGAAUGCCUCCCUGAACCACACAUCAGAACUUAAGUACGCACACACCGCUCGUCACCCU